AAAAUUGAUCUCAGCAGGUUGGUGUUCAUGUACAGGUUGCCAUAUGAGAAUAUACUGCGUAUUGGUCAAAUCUCAAAACAAAUGGCCCAUUCUGACCAUAACUAUUCCAAAAGCAUUGAUAGGCUUUUUAAAACAUCAAGCUAUCUGUAUAUUGAUCUCAGCAGUGUCCAAAAUCCAAAUGGUUAUGUUUGUUCAGAUUUUCCUCACUUUUACGUUCUUUGAAUUAAAGUAGUGCUUGAGGUUAAUAAUAAAUGAUUGUUGGUAACUUAACUAGCUCAUGAGAAUAAUUUGUGAUAUAGCUUGCUCCUAUAUGUGUCAUUGACAAUGUUCUAAUGUCACAACUUUUUUUAUCAUGCACUCUUACAAGGUCAUUUCUUCUUGUUUGUUUUUGUGAGCAGAGCAACCUCCUUCUGGAUGACAAAAGAAUUAGGACCAGAUAAUUCGUUCUUUGAGCAAAGCAACUUUGUUGGGGAUGCCAAAAGAAGUUUCAGUUUUCUUACUAAUUAAUGCGGCAAUUGGCUGCCGCGACAGAAAACUGGGAGCCCCCUAGGAACAAAAUAAAAAAGAAAGAUCCUGCCUUUGCCCUUAAUACACCUGAUGGGCAAUGUCAUCACCAGCGUGAGUUUGGUCUCCUUAACGCACCCGAUCGAGGCCAUGGAGUCCAUCUUCCCUAUUCUACUAUCUGUCUUGUUCCUCGGGAAGGUAUUUGGUUUCAGACUUUAUCAAGUGGUUUGUCCUGAGAAAUGAAAUGUGAUGAACACCCAGGGAAUAAUGUACCUAUAUAGGAUUAGGAAUCUUUUUGUAUCAAUGAAAUUGUUGUGCAUGCUUGUAGGUAUAUGUUCUCCUAUCUUGACAAAUGAAAUGAGUGAUUACAAAACUACUUUUGAUCGA